ACACAAAAUGAGGGCACUUCCCGAUCUGUCUGGAAAGUGCUCCCACUUUGUGUGU
rnacentral:pre_miRNA from 1 species